AACGUAGGAGGCAAGCGUUAUCCGGAUUUACUGGGCGUAAAGCGUGUGCAGGCGGUUGUCCAAGGCGGGUAUGAAAGCGCUCCGCUUAACGGGGCGAGGCUAGACGAGACUGGGCGACUAGAAUCAGACAGAGGCAAGCGGAAUUCCCGGUGUAGAGGUGAAAUUCGUAGAUAUCGGGAGGAACACCGGUGGCGAAGGCGGCGACCUGGUUCGAUACUGACACUGAGGUGCGAAAGCGUGGGGAGCGAACAGG
rnacentral:rRNA from 1 species